UUUGCACGGCACCAGAUAACCCGCGCCAGUAGCACAGCUGCCCUGGCCUUCGGUGAGGACUGGGGCGAUCGCGGUGCACGCUGCUAGGGAGUCCCACCGGGGGAGUUGAGGCGGCGGAUUCCGAGAGCGGGGUGGGCUGAAUCCGGAGGGAGCCCGUGGAACGCACCGCGCAGACCGCGCCGGCGCCCGCACUCAGCUAUUGACUAGUCUUUCUGCCUGCUCACCCCUGAAAGUGGUCCAGGCGGCAGUCUCUCUUUUUCUGCCUUUUUGUUUCUCUCCGGCGAGUUGGCGCGAGGGUGAAUUUCCGUUUCCGGCGGUGUCCAAGCGGACCUAAGGAGUUGUAGUUUUGAGCAGGUUCGGUGCGCGGGCUGAGGCAGGCGGCCAUGGGGUCCUUGGCUCUGGGGCACUGGGAAGAUCGCGAGUCGUGCGUGUGGGAAGGUCCUCCCCCCGUCCUCCGGGUCAUCUUUGCUCCCGAGGAACAGCAUAUUUAGCAUCUGCCAGAAGUGUGCCCGGGGGUCGUUGGGAGAGUGACGGGAUGAAUCCCUGCAGAGAGCCCGGACUGGGAGGGAAGGUGUCGGGGAGACUUGGUUUCCUGGCGACGUGGCCUCGGCAGGCUACUUAGACCUGAGCGGAAUCUGUUGAGCCCAAAUUGUGCUUUUCCCACCAAGGAGAGAAGGGAGAGAAACAGUACAAGUUUGGUACUAAAAUAUAGUAGAGAAGCAACAUAACCCCUGAAAUCACACAGCUAUUCAGUUUCAAAGCGUUCCUAGUGCCCAGCUCUCCUAACUCCCGGCCAGUGUUCCUUGACAAUAUGGUGAUACAUAAAGACUUUCCGUUUCCGCUCGUGUGUGUGUCUGUGGGAAGCCUCUGACUCACCUCUGUGCUCCAGUAGCACCCUGUGCAGCCUUGCAGUGUAGCCCUUAUUGCAUGGCACGGAAGACACUAGUUUGGAUUUCCUCAGCCAGUCAGAUCAUAGCUAUAUCCAUUUACUGGCACAGUGGCUAGCGCAUCAUAGACAGACACAAAUAUUUAUUAAACGGAAUGAAUAUAAGACCUUUAUUGAAUGAAAUGGCACCCUGCCCCGCUUUUCUUCAAUCAAACUGUCAGAUUUUAUGCAGCCCGAUAUCCUUAAAAAAAACUCACUAAUUCAGUGAUUACCAAUUUAUUGGCCACAGCUUCCUAGGUACCUCAGAAAUCACUGGGUCUCUGUAAGUCCAUGGGAUCUCCAGGCAUCACCUCAAACCAUUCAUAUCUGGCACAUACAGAUAUUGCUAUUUUUCAAAUGUAUGUAGAUGAGCUGUAAUUUAGGAGUUUUACAGAGUCAACAGGUACUAAAAGUAAUACUGCGAUCAUAUUGGAAGUUCAUAAAAACGUUUUAAAUAUUUUAUUAAAAUCUAAGUUUCAGUUUAAAUUAGGAAACCACUUCAUUAGUCCCGUUGAUAUCUAGGUCUGAGCUGUCAAGUAGCCACAUGUGACUAUUUAGAGUUAGAAUGAAAUUAAUUAAAAAUUCAUUUUUUCAGUUUCUCUAAGUACAUUUUAAGUAACCACAUGUGGCUAAAGGCUAAAUAGCUGAAAAGUACAGAUAUAGAAUAUUUCCAUCCUUGCAGAAAUAGUGCUGAUGUUGACACUUAAGAUGAAUAAAAAGUAACUUAACCAUGAAAUGUAACCUUAGUAGAGGUAACUCAUCUAAUUUAUAGCAUAACAGAGAGAAAUUAAAUUAGGGAUGGUUAAGCAGUUUCUACCCUUGUUCAGUGAACAAAUACAUCAUCUCUUCAUAAAGAAAUAAACGAAAUUUAGUAUUUUUGCCUGGGUAUUGCCUGGAUUGUAAAAUGCUUCUCCCACCUCCUUACCCCAACCUUCUUCCUUGUAGGUUAGAGUUACUUGUUAUUGGUAAGUAGCCACUAUGGAGACUAAGGACCAGAAGAAACACAGAAAGAAAAACAGUGGACCAAAGCUGCAAAGAAAAAGAAGCGGCAUCUGCAGGAUCUCCAGCUAGGAGACAAAGAUGCCGGGAAGAGAAAUCCCAAAGCUUUUGCAGUUCAGUCUGCUGUGUGGAUGGCUCGAUCACAGGACUCAGGAUUUGAAGACAAAAAAGCAUCAUAUUCCAGUGGUUGAUCGAACUCCACUAGAGCCCCCACCAAUAGUGGCAGUGGUGACAGGGCCUCCAAAGUUGGAAAGAGCACUUUGAUACAAUGCCUCAUUCGGAACUUCACCCUGCAGAAGUUGACCGAGAUCAGAGGCCCUGUGAUGAUCGUGUCAGGUAAAAAGCACAGACUCACCAUUAUUGAAUGCGGGUGUGACAUUAACAUGAUGGUUGAUCUGGCUAAAGCAGCAGAUCUGGGUAACAAACUGUUCUACCUUUCUGGAAUGGUGCAUGGAGAAUAUCAAAACCAAGAAAUGCACAAUCUGGGCCAUUUUAUUACAGUUAUGAAGUUUAGGCCUUUCACAUGGCAAACUUCUCACCCUUAUGUCCUGGCAGACAGGAUGGAAGAUUUGACAAACCCAGAGGAUAUCCGAACAAACAUGAAAUGUGACCGGCAGGUGUCACUUUAUGGUUAUUUAAGAGGAGCACACUUGAAAAAUAAAAGCCAAAUUCACAUGGCAGGAAUAGAAGAUUUUGCCAUGCAUGACAUCAGUUUCCUCCCAGACCCUUGCACUCUUCCUGAACAAUGAAAGAAGCGCUGUUUAAAUAAUAAGGAGAAGUUGGUUUAUGCGCCUCUUUCUGGAGUUGGGCGUGUGCUGUAUGACAAAGACGCUGUCUAUGUUGACCUUGGUGGCAGCCACGGUUUUCAGGCAUCGGACGAGGUGGGGCCCACCCAUGAGCUGGUCCAGAGUCUCAUCUCCACCCACUCCACCAUUGAUGCCAAGAUGACUUCAAGUCGGGUGAUGCUGUUUUCUGAUUCCAAGCCACUUGGGUCAGAGGCUAUAGAUAAUCAAGGGGAAGUCUGCUUUUUUUCCAUUUUUAAUGAAAAGAUAUACUACAGAAGACCAUAUCACCUGUAAUUCUGCCAUUAUAACACAUUUUGGUGGGAUUCAUUCUAUGUUGUUUUGUUUUUCUUUGUGUAUGCAUGUGUCUCUGAGGGCUCUUCACUUACCUGACAUUACGAGGGAGUCUUUUCUAGAAAUAAAAUACAGGAUGCAUUUUUCAACAGACCCAAAUGUUCCUUAAAUACCACGCCAUCUUCCAUAGGUUGCUUUUUUGUUUUUUAAGAGACCUGAGGCCACUUGGCUUUCUUUUGGUGGCCAAAACACUAGAGGAGAGUCAGGGAGUUUGUGGCUCUCCAGAAGCUGCAUGCCUUGUCUCUGAAAGUUUUAUUUAGAUUAUGUUGUAUUAUCUCCCAUGGGUAAGUUUCCACUGAUGUAUGGCUUAUGUGAAUUAUUUUUUAGCCUGGGUUAAGAAUUUGUAUACCUUUAUGCUUAGUGGAUGUUUGCAAAACAUUGAUUUUGUUGUAUUGAUUUAUGAUUCCCAGUAAAAUUUAUCUGAUAAUUUUGAGAUAAUCUAGUAUGUAAUUUGUUACAAUGUGCAUAAACUACCUACCGCAGUGCCUAAGAUAACGAGUGUUAUUAGCUAUUUUCAUUUUUGCAUAUCCUUCUAGUUAUCCUUGUAUACAAGAAUAUUCUCUUCUAAUAUAGUUACAGGUAAAAUACAUAAUUUUAUUUUUAUAUUCUGAGCAUUGUUUUUUUUCUAUACAGUCUUUAUGUAGUCAUGAUUUUGUUGUUACUGGUGUUUUUUUGUUAUUGUGGUUUCUUUGUUUUUGUUUUUAUUUUGAGAUAAGGUCUCACUUUGUCUCCCAGGCUGGAGUGCAGUGGCAUGAUCUUGGCUCACUGCAGCCUUGAACUCCCAGGCCCAAGUGAUCCUCCUGCUUCAGCCCCACAAGUACCUGGGAUUGCAAGAGUACACCACCACUCCAAGCUAACUUUUUUUGUUUUGUUCUAGGGACGAGUUCUCAUUAUGUUGCCUAGGCUGGUCUCGAACUCCUAGGUUCAAGCAAUCCUCCCGCCUUGGCCUCCCACAAUCCUGGGAUUACAGAUGUGAGCCACUAUGCCUGGCCUAUUAUUCCUGUAUUCUAACUUAUCCAUCUCUUAUGGUAUAAUUUUUAGUUUUUUCUAAUUUAUGUUUUCAUAUUUUCAUCUAUUGUGCUUCGCAUAGUUUUCUUUCAUCCAGUGAUUUUAGCCUCCUUAUGAUCUCUAUCAGUUAUGGCACUGGUGACUUAAACUGGAUGUUCUUCCUCUGUCAUUCCUCCUACAUUUGUUAGCUGGAAUUUUUAGCAAAGAGCUUUCAGUUCUUCCCUUUAUUUUGGUAUCACUGCUGACUAAUGCACUUGCGUUUUAUUCCAUGGGUUAUUUUCCAUCACUGUCAUUGUUCUUUCUGAUGCCUAUGGUGUCCCAGAUUCGGCCACGGGAGCCUUCAGCCUGUCUCCUGUGCCCUUUCAACUGUCUCUGUUAGUCUUUGAGCAUUUCUUCCUUUCUGACAGAAUAAGAGGAUCCAGGCUCAUGUUGCCCUCUUUCUACCUUGGGCCUGGACUCAGCCAUUUCUCUUAAGGAUCAUGUGUUUUUAGCUUAGAAAUUAAUCAGCUUUCCAAAAGAUCUACAAAACACUAACUUCCCUGUUCAGCAAUUUUUUUCUAAAAUUAGAUUUUUUUUAAAGGAUUAUUCCUUUAUUCUCUCUGUAAGUUCUUUUGAAGUGUGGUGUUAGGGAACCAUGCCUGAGUUUGCUUAUUAACUCUUCCAGUGUUUAUCAGAUCAUUUUUUCACUAUGCUAUGUCAUCUUAAACAUCUUAAACAAUUCCUUGACGUUUUCUGUUUCUUUGUAUUUUCAUUGACUAUAUUGCCAUUUCUAGAUGAGCUGAUCAAUGUACAAAUUGAAUUAUUUUGCGUUUCCUUGGUAAUAUAGGCUGUUGAUGCCAAAGGAGGAAAAACAAAUGGACUUGAAAACUGGUUGAAUGUGUCGGAAAGCCAUUUUGGGAGAUGAUUCUGUGCUAACAUCCUCUCUCCUUUCUUGGUCUCUUAAUUUUUUUUUCUUACCCAGGUAUAUAUAUACAGGUUGAUUUUGUCUUUCUAGAAGAUCCAAGAUCUUGGGUUUAGAGAUAUGUUCUCUUAAUGUUAAUUGGUAUUAGAAUACUCUUUUCUGUAUUUUAUUUCAACACAUUUUAAGAAUAGAAAUGAUUGUAUUUUCUUUUAACUUGUGAAGUAGAGCAUGGCAUACAAAUGUUGUAUUCUCAGUAUUUCAAAAACUUUCCUUCUUACUGUACAAGUUGUAUUCAGCAUAUAAAGUCCAUCCAGCUUUGUUGUA